GAUGAACGCUGGCGGCGUGCCUAAUACAUGCAAGUCGAGCGAACGGACGAGAAGCUUGCUUCUCUGAUGUUAGCGGCGGACGGGUGAGUAACACGUGGAUAACCUACCUAUAGACUGGGAUAACUUCGGGAAACCGGAGCUAAUACCGGAUAAUAUUUUGAACCGCAUGGUUCAAAAGUGAAAGACGGUCUUGCUGUCACUUAUAGAUGGAUCCGCGCUGCAUUAGCUAGUUGGUAAGGUAACGGCUUACCAAGGCAACGAUGCAUAGCCGACCUGAGAGGGUGAUCGGCCACACUGGAACUGAGACACGGUCCAGACUCCUACGGGAGGCAGCAGUAGGGAAUCUUCCGCAAUGGGCGAAAGCCUGACGGAGCAACGCCGCGUGAGUGAUGAAGGUCUUCGGAUCGUAAAACUCUGUUAUUAGGGAAGAACAUAUGUGUAAGUAACUGUGCACAUCUUGACGGUACCUAAUCAGAAAGCCACGGCUAACUACGU
rnacentral:rRNA from 1 species